rnacentral:rRNA from 1 species
UACAGAGGGGGCAAGCGUUGCUCGGAAUUACUGGGCGUAAAGGGCGCGUAGGCGGCCCGCUAAGUCGAACGUGAAAUCCCUGGGCUCAACCCAGGAACUGCGUCCGAUACUGGCAGGCUUGAAUCCGGGAGAGGGAUGCGGAAUUCCAGGUGUAGCGGUGAAAUGCGUAGAUAUCUGGAGGAACACCGGUGGCGAAGGCGGCAUCCUGGACCGGCAUUGACGCUGAGGCGCGAAAGCCAGGGGAGCAAACGGG